UGAUGUAGCUCAGUAGGUAGAGCGUCGCCUUGGUAAGGCGGAGGUCACGGGUUCAAGUCCCGCCAUCA
rnacentral:tRNA from 1 species